rnacentral:lncRNA from 1 species
GAAAAUAUCUCAGUUCUCCAUAGAAAGAUAGAAAGGAUGCCAACAAGCCUGCGGAAGCUAAGACCCAGAACAAUUCAUCUCUCUGCUGAAGAGUUGAGAGAGGGCAGCUGGAUCCCACUGGACCCUGCUGUGUUUAGUUUCUAUAAAAGGGAACUAAAAUGAGGAGUGGCCUCCAGAGGCAGCAAAAUACAGCAGGAAGCCUGGAGAUGCAGC